rnacentral:rRNA from 1 species
UACGUAGGGGGCAAGCGUUAUCCGGAUUUACUGGGUGUAAAGGGAGCGUAGGCGGCUAGGUAAGUCAGAAGUGAAAGCCCGCAGCUCAACUGCGGGACUGCUUUUGAAACUGCCAAGCUAGAGUGUCGGAGAGGUAAGUGGAAUUCCUAGUGUAGCGGUGAAAUGCGUAGAUAUUAGGAGGAACACCAGUGGCGAAGGCGGCUUGCUGGACGACAACUGACGCUGAGGCGCGAAAGCGUGGGGAGCAA